rnacentral:rRNA from 1 species
GCGGCAGGCUUCAUACAUGCAAGUCGAGGGGCAGCAUAAAUUACUUGUAAUUUGAUGGCGACCGGCGAACGGGUGCGUAACGCGUAUGCAACUUACCUUUUACUAGAGAAUAGCCAAGAGAAAUUUUGAUUAAUGCUCUAUGUUUUUAUUAACUCGCAUGAGUUAAUAAGCAAAGCUCCGGCGGUAAAAGAUGGGCAUGCGUCCUAUUAGCUUGUAGGUGAGGUAACGGCUCACCUAAGCUCCGAUAGGUAGGGGUCCUGAGAGGGAGAUCCCCCACACUGGUACUGAGACACGGACCAGACUUCUACGGAAGGCAGCAGUAAGGAAUAUUGGACAAUGGAGGCAACUCUGAUCCAGCCAUGCCGCGUGAAGGAAGACGGCCUUAUGGGUUGUAAACUUCUUUUAUACAGGAAGAAACCUUUCCACGAGUGGAAAGCUGACGGUACUGUAAGAAUAAGGAUCGGCUAACUCCGUGCCAGCAGCCGCGGUAAUACGGAGGAUCCAAGCGUUAUCCGGAAUUAUUGGGUUUAAAGGGUCCGCAGGCUGUUUGUUAAGUCAGAGGUGAAAUCCUACCGCUCAACGGUAGAACUGCCUUUGAUACUGGCAAACUUGAGUUAUUGUGAAGUAGUUAGAAUGUGUAGUGUAGCGGUGAAAUGCAUAGAUAUUACACAGAAUACCGAUUGCGAAAGCAGAUUACUAACAAUAUACUGACGCUGAGGGACGAAAGCGUGGGUAGCGAACAGGAUUAGAUACCCUGGUAGUCCACGCCGUAAACGAUGGUCACUAGCUGUUCGAUGUACAUUGGUACAUUGAGUGGCUAAGCGAAAGUGAUAAGUGACCCACCUGGGGAGUACGCU